UUGGUCCUACGGGGGGCAGCAGUAGGGAAUCUUCCACAAUGGACGAAAGUCUGAUGGAGCAACGCCGCGUGAGUGAAGAAGGGUUUCGGCUCGUAAAGCUCUGGUGGUAGGGAAGAAAGAUAGAGGGAGUAACUGGCCUUUAUUUGACGGUAAUUACUUAGAAAGUCACGGCUAAAUAAGUGCCAGCAGCCGCGGGAAUACGUAGGGGGCAAGCGAUGUCCGGAUUUAUUGGGCGGAAAGCGAGUGCAGGAGGGUCAA
rnacentral:rRNA from 1 species